CGAGGUGCUGCCGAGGAACUGAGGGACCUUCUCGAGCACAGGAUAGGUAAUUGAGAGAUAGAGCUAGCCUAUUCGUUAUAGGGAAUCAAUGCUCCGGACCGAAUAAAGCUUACCUACGGCACCUGGCUUUCUCCGGUGCAUAUUAGCUUAGUUGCGCUUACGCGGCCGGUUUUGCUUCCUCUCUGGCGGCCACUUUCCUUACCUUACCCCCGCUACACUCUCACUCCAAGAUACACCUGCUAAGCAAGAUGCAUUGCGAUUUCCUCUU
rnacentral:lncRNA from 1 species